AGGGUUUGAUCAUGGCUCAGAACGUACGCUGGCGGCACGCCUAACACAUGCAAGUCGAACGAAGUAGCAAUACUUAGUGGCAGACGGGUGAGUAACAUGUAGGUAUCUACCCUUUGGCCUGGAAUAACACGAGGAAACUUGUGCUAAUACCGGAUAAGUCUUUACGGAGAAAGCUUUAUGCACCAUUGGAUGAGCCUGCACUUGAUUAGUUUGUUGGUGGGGUAAUGGCCUACCAAGACUUUGAUCAAUAGCUGAUUUGAGAGGAUGAUCAGCCACAUUGGGACUGAGACACGGCCCAAACUCCUACGGGAGGCAGCAGUGGGGAAUCUUGCACAAUGGAGGAAACUCUGAUGCAGCGAUGCCGCGUGAGUGAAGAAGGCCCUUGGGUUGUAAAGCUCUUUCGUCGGGGAAGAAAAUGACUGUACCCGAAUAAGAAGGUCCGGCUAACUUCGUGCCAGCAGCCGCGGUAAUACGAAGGGACCUAGCGUAGUUCGGAAUUACUGGGCUUAAAGAGUUCGUAGGUGGUUAAAAAAGUUGGUGGUGAAAUCCCAGAGCUUAACUCUGGAACUGCCAUCAAAACUUUUUAGCUAGAGUAUGAUAGAGGAAAGCAGAAUUUCUAGUGUAGAGGUGAAAUUCGUAGAUAUUAGAAAGAAUACCAAUUGCGAAGGCAGCUUUCUGGAUCAUUACUGACACUGAGGAACGAAAGCAUGGGUAGCGAAGAGGAUUAGAUACCCUCGUAGUCCAUGCCGUAAACGAUGUGUGUUAGACGUUGGAGAUUUAUUUUCAGUGUCGCAGCGAAAGCGAUAAACACACCGCCUGGGGAGUACGACCGCAAGGUUAAAACUCAAAUGAAUUGACGGGGACCCGCACAAGUAGUGGAGCAUGUGGUUUAAUUCGAAGAUACGCGCAGAACCUUACCAACACUUGACAUGUUCGUCGCGACUCUAAGAGAUUAGAGUUUUCGGUUCGGCCGGACGAAACACAGGUGCUGCAUGGCUGUCGUCAGCUCGUGUCGUGAGAUGUUGGGUUAAGUCCCGCAACGAGCGCAACCCUCACUUUUAGUUGCCAUCAUUAAGUUGGGCACUCUAGAAGAACUGCCAGUGAUAAGCUGGAGGAAGGUGGGGAUGACGUCAAGUCCUCAUGGCCCUUACGUGUUGGGCUACACACGUGCUACAAUGGUAUCUACAACAGGAAGCAAGACGGCGACGUCAAGCAAAUCCUAAAAAGAUAUCUCAGUUCGGAUUGCACUCUGCAACUCGAGUGCAUGAAGCUGGAAUUACUAGUAAUCGUGGAUCAGCGUGCCACGGUGAAUGCGUUCCCGGGUCUUGUACACACCGCCCGUCACACCAUGGGAGUUGGUUCUACCUUAAGGCAAGGUUUUAAACCCUUGACCACGGUAUAGUCAGCGACUGGGGUGAAGUCGUAACAAGGUAACCGUA
rnacentral:rRNA from 1 species